rnacentral:rRNA from 1 species
CGGUAACGCGGAGAGCUGCUCUCUGGCGACGAGUGGCGGACGGGUGAGUAAUGCGUAGGAAUCUGCCCUGGAGCGGGGGAUAGCCCGGGGAAACCCGGAUUAAUACCGCAUACGCUCUACGGAGGAAAGUGGGCCUCUUCUUGAAAGCUCACACUGCAGGAUGAGCUUACGUCCGAUUAGCUUGUUGGUGGGGUAAAGGCCUACCAAGGCGACGAUCGGUAGCUGGUCUGAGAGGAUGAUCAGCCACACCGGGACUGAGACACGGCCCGGACUCCUACGGGAGGCAGCAGUGGGGAAUAUUGGACAAUGGGCGAAAGCCUGAUCCAGCAAUGCCGCGUGUGUGAAGAAGGCCUGCGGGUUGUAAAGCACUUUUAUCAGGGAAGAAACGGCCUGGCCUAAUACGCCAUGGCAAUUGACGGUACCUGAAGAAUAAGCACCGGCUAACUCCGUGCCAGCAGCCGCGGUAAUACGGAGGGUGCAAGCGUUAAUCGGAAUUACUGGGCGUAAAGGGUGCGCAGGCGGCUGGCUAAGUCGGAUGUGAAAGCCCCGGGCUCAACCUGGGAAUUGCAUUCGAUACUGGUCAACUAGAGUCUGGUAGAGGUAAGCGGAAUUCCGGGUGUAGCGGUGAAAUGCGUAGAUAUCCGGAGGAACAUCAGUGGCGAAGGCGGCUUACUGGACCAAGACUGACGCUCAGGCACGAAAGCGUGGGUA